rnacentral:misc_RNA from 1 species
AAAAUAAUCCUACCCUUGUGAAUUUUGUUUGUUUGAAUAAUUUUUUUUUUAAAAAUUAUUGGAGUCUUUCCCUUUAGAGUUGCUUUGAGUUGUAAAAGAAUUCGAAAACAUCUAAAGGGGAUGGUCAAUAAUUUUUUUUGAAAAAGACAUUUUUAAAAUUAAACUUUUUGUAUUCAUUGUCUAAAAAUUAUUUUAUAAUAUAAAAACACUUUUGACAAUGAUCUCUUGGUUCUCGCAACGAUGAAGAACGCAGCAAAAUGCGAUAAGUAGUGUGAAUUGCAGAAUUCGUGAAUCAUCGAAUCUUUGAACGCAUAUUGCACUUUUUUAGUCUACUAAAAAAGUAUGUCUGUUUGAGUAUCAGUAAAAUAUUCUCAUAAAAUCAUUGUAUUUUUAUGGUUAUGAGUGUUUUACAACGAUACAAGUUGUUUCACUUUAAAUUUUUUUUUAAUAUUGAAAUUUUUUCUAAUUUUAAUAAUUAAAUUGGAUAAAAUUUUCCGUCAAAAGGAAUAACCUAAACAAUUUUAAAUGAUUAAUUUUAGCAAAAUUUUCGUAAAAAAGGAAAAUUUUUAUUAAAAUAACUUGAUCUCAAAUCAGAUAAGAGUACCCGCUGAACUUAAGCAUAUCAACAAGCGGAGGAAAAGAAACUAACAAGGAUUCCUUAGUAACGGCGAGUGAAGCGGGAAGAGCUCAAAUUUGAAAUCUUCAAGGUUUUACCUUGACGAAUUGUAGUUUAAAGAAGUGUUUUCUGCUGAAGUUUGGUAAAAGUUCUUUGGAAUAGGACAUCAUAGAGGGUGAGAAUCCCGUAUUUGACCAUUAUUUCAGCUUUGUGAUACACUUUCAAAGUGUCGGAUUGUUUGGGAAUGCAGUCCAAAAUGGGUGGUAAAUUUCAUCUAAAGCUAAAUAUUGGCGAGAGACCGAUAGCGAACAAGUACGUGAGGGAAAGAUGAAAAGAACUUUGAAAAGAGAGUUAAACAGUACGUGAAAUUGUCAAAAGGGAAGCGUUUGACACCAGUGUUGUUUUCUCGAAAAUCAAUUAAAAAUGGCUCGAUUUGUAUUGCUGAGACCUUAAAAGCUCACUGUACAUUUUUCGUGUCUUUUUUAAUGCACUUUUCGUUUAACAAGUCAACAUCAGUUUCUUUUGUUGUAAAAGGGUCAUUGGAAGGUGGCUUCUUUUCGGAGAAAGUGUUUAUAGCCUUUGGCCUCUGCAAUCGAAGAGACUGAGGUCUGCAGCGUAGACUCUUCGGGUUAGAUACAUUUGUGCUAAGUUAUAGCUUUUUAUAGACAACUUGUUGACUAUAAUUAGUCUUGUAGCUUACUCGCUUAUGCUAUUUUACCUAC